rnacentral:rRNA from 1 species
CCUGUUUAUCAAAAACAUGUCUAUAUGAAGGUGUAUAUAGUUUAACCUGCUCACUGAUUUUUUAAAGAGCCGCAGUAUUCUGACUGUGCAAAGGUAGCAUAAUAGAUUGUCUUUUAAUUGAAGGCUUGAAUGAACGGUUGGACAAAGUAUCCUCUGUUUCUUAAAUAAAAAUUGAACUUUACUUUUAAGUGAAAAGGCUUAAAUAUUUCAAAAAGACGAUAAGACCCUAUAAAUCUUUACAAUAUUUUUAUUCUAAAUUUCUAACUAGAUGUAUUAAUGAAAUAUAAAAUAAACUCUUGUUACACUGGGGCGGUGUAGAUAUAUAAAUAAACUGUUUAUUAAAUAUAAACAACGAUUGUUGAUUCAUAGUAGCUGAUCCUUUAAUAGAUUAAAAGAUUAAGAUACUUUAGGGAUAACAGCGUUAUUUUUUCUGAGAGUUCUUAUCGAAGAAAAAGUUUGCGACCUCGAUGUUGAAUUAAAGUCUCUUUAUGGUGCARCAGCUAUAVAAGAAAGUCUGUUCGACUUUUAAUACUUUACAUGAUUUGAGUUCARACCGGCGUGAGCCAGGUUGGUUUCUAUCAUAAA